GAUCACGAAGUCCGACGAGCCCUCUCAUGGGCAAGGCCUCCCGGCCCGUCGGCUGGCAACCGCGCUGAUCGCGCACGGUGCCCCCGGGAGAAGAUCUGUCGGCGUCUGCACACCCGCGCGCCGAAAGUGCGACUU
rnacentral:ncRNA from 1 species